CCCUUAGAGUUUGAUCCUGGCUCAGGACGAACCUUGGCGGCGUGCCUAACACAUGCAAGUCGAGCGAUGAAAAAGAAGUAGAUCUCUUCGGAGUGACGCCUCUUUGGAUUAGCGGCGGACGGGUGAGUAACACGUGAGCAACCUGCCGUACACAUUGGGAUAGCCUCGGGAAACUGGGAUUAAUACCAAACGAAACAUAUUGAUAGCAUUAUCAAAAUGUCAAAGAUUUAUCGGUGUACGAUGGGCUCGCGUCUGAUUAGCUAGUUGGUGAGAUAAAAGCUCACCAAGGCAAUGAUCAGUAGCCGGCCUGAGAGGGUGAUCGGCCACAUUGGGACUGAGACACGGCCCAAACUCCUACGGGAGGCAGCAGUGGGGAAUAUUGCACAAUGGAGGGAACUCUGAUGCAGCGACGCCGCGUGAGCGAAGAAGGAAUUCGUUUCGUAAAGCUCUGUCCUAUGGGAAGAUAAUGACGGUACCAUAGAAGAAAGCCCCGGCUAACUACGCGCCAGCAGCCGCGGUAAUACGUAGGGGGCGAGCGUUGUCCGGAAUUAUUGGGCGUAAAGGGUUCGUAGGCGGUAAUACAUGUCAGAUGUGAAAUCUUGUGGCUUAACCACAUCAAGCAUCUGAAACUGUAUAACUUGAGUGGAGGAGAGGUAAGUGGAAUUCCUAGUGUAGCGGUGAAAUGCGUAGAUAUUAGGAAGAAUACCAGUAGCGAAGGCGACUUGCUGGCCUCUAACUGACGCUGAUGAACGAAAGCGUGGGUAGCAAACAGGAUUAGAUACCCUGGUAGUCCACGCCGUAAACGAUG
rnacentral:rRNA from 1 species